rnacentral:lncRNA from 1 species
UCAGCUGUGAACUGGCAGGAGAAGUGGUAGUGAUCCUCAAAUUUCUUCCAGUAAAGGUCGGAGUUGGGAUACUUGGUUUUCUCGAGUGCAUGCGCAAUGGUACACUGCACAUGAGGAAAUAAGAAAUAUCAUAGGAUACUACGGAGAUCAGAAUACAUCUUGUAUUGAGCAAAAGGGGAUAGAAUGCGUACAUGAGUAACUCCCAACUUGUGAGCCAACAAACACGCGACUAGGUUGCCAUCACUGUAGUUUCCAAUGAUCAGGUCAGGAGUGGCCUGCAGCUCUCCGGCGAUCUCGUGUGCCACAUCCUGAAAGCAACAUGAAAAAAAUGAUGGAUUGCUAUUCUAAUGAAACACUACAAACAACCUGCUGGAAAGUGAAAUGCAUACAUCAGUGUAAGCUUCCAGGUAAGGCCAGACUUCAAAGCGGGAGAUCCAUUUGCGAACAAUACCAUCUUCUGUUUUGAAUGGCACACGCAGGAUGUGGGUGUGCUCGGUGCCAAGGACC